UACAGAGGUCCCAAGCGUUGUUCGGAUUCAUUGGGCGUAAAGGGUGCGUAGGCGGCGCGGUAAGUCGGGUGUGAAAUCUCGGGGCUUAACUUCGAAACUGCAUUCGAUACUGCCGUGCUUGAGGACUGGAGAGGAGACUGGAAUUUACGGUGUAGCGGUGAAAUGCGUAGAUAUCGUAAGGAAGACCAGUGGCGAAGGCGGGUCUCUGGACAGUUCCUGACGCUGAGGCACGAAGGUCAGGGGAGCAAACGGG
rnacentral:rRNA from 1 species